AGAGCAGUGGAGCCCGGUCCCCGGUAGCCCAGGUAGACGUCUGCUGCCGCAGUAAAUACUAACAGACAACAAACGCAGACGACUGCUUCCCGAGUGCCGCCUGGGAAGCGCGGGGAGCGCUGGGCGGGAGGGACUUUCUGGGGCGCCGAGUCCAGCCCUGGGUAACUGCGGGACCCGUAUACGCACGGGCAGUGUCAUCCUUCUAAGUGACAGCACUCUUGGAGGAAAAGUAAAGAAAAAUAUCGUUGGAGAGCACUGGAUCCUGAUCAUUAUUACUGAGAACAGAUUCAUCAACAUGAAAGUAAUCGCAUUAUGGAUAAGCCGUUACAUUAACUCUAAUCCAAGAAUUUGA
rnacentral:lncRNA from 1 species